UACAGAGGGGGCAAGCGUUGUUCGGAAUUACUGGGCGUAAAGGGCGCGUAGGCGGCCUUCUAAGUCGAACGUGAAAUCCCCGGGCUCAACCUGGGAACUGCAUUUGUGACUGCACAGCUUGAGUGCGGCAGAGGGGGAUGGAAUUCCGCGUGUAGCAGUGAAAUGCGUAGAUAUGCGGAGGAACACCGAUGGCGAAGGCAAUCCCCUGGGCCCGCACUGACGCUCAUGCACGAAAGCGUGGGGAGCAAACAGG
rnacentral:rRNA from 1 species